rnacentral:rRNA from 1 species
AUUGAACGCUGGCGGCAGGCCUAACACAUGCAAGUCGAACGAGUGGCGGACGGGUGAGUUAUGUUUGGGAAACUGCCUGAUGGAGGGGGAUAACUACUGGAAACGGUAGCUAAUACCGCAUACCAUCAGAUGUUCCCCGAUGGGAUUAGCUAGUGGGUGGGGUAACGACUCACCACGGCGACAAUCCCUAGCUGGUCUGAGAGGAUGACAAGCCAGACUGGAACUGAGACACGGUCCAGACUCCUACGGGAGGCAGCAGUGGGGAAUAUUGCACAAUGGGCGCAAGCCUGAUGCAGCCAUGCCGCGUGUAUGAAGAAGGCCUUCGGGUUGUAAAGUACUUGCAGCUGGGAGGCGUUACCCGCAGAAGAAGCACCGGCUAACUCCGUGCCAGCAGCCGCGGUAAUAC